GCAGGUACUAGUGUUCCUUGCU
rnacentral:siRNA from 1 species